GGCGGUUAGAUAAGUNUGAAGUUAAAGGCUGUGGCUUAACCAUAGUACGCUUUGGAAACUGUUUAACUUGAGUGCAGAAGGGGAGAGUGGAAUUCCAUGUGUAGCGGUGAAAUGCGUAGAUAUAUGGAGGAACACCGGUGGCGAAAGCGGCUCUCUGGUCUGUAACUGACGCUGAGGCUCGAAAGCGUGGGGAGCAAACAGGAUUAGAUGCCCUGGUAGUCCACGCCGUAAACGAUGAGUGCUAGGUGUUGGGUCCUUUCCGGGACUCAGUGCCGCAGCUAACGCAUUAAGCACUCCGCCUGGGGAGUACGACCGCAAGGUUGAAACUCAAAGGAAUUGACGGGGGCCCGCACAAGCGGUGGAGCAUGUGGUUUAAUUCGAAGCAACGCGAAGAACCUUACCAGGUCUUGACAUCCCUCUGACCGCUCUAGAGAUAGAGCUUUCCUUCGGGACAGAGGUGACAGGUGGUGCAUGGUUGUCGUCAGCUCGUGUCGUGAGAUGUUGGGUUAAGUCCCGCAACGAGCGCAACCCCUAUUGUUAGUUGCCAUCAUUCAGUUGGGCACUCUAGCGAGACUGCCGGUAAUAAACCGGAGGGAGGUGGGGAUGACGUCAAAUCAUCAUGCCCCUUAUGACCUGGGCUACACACGUGCUACAAUGGCUGGUACAACGAGUCGCGAGUCGGUGACGGCAAGCUAAUCUCUUAAAGCCAGUCUCAGUUCGGAUUGUAGGCUGCAACUCGCCUACAUGAAGUCGGAAUCGCUAGUAAUCGCGGAUCAGCACGCCGCGGUGAAUACGUUCCCGGGCCUUGUACACACCGCCCGUCACACCACGAGAGUUUGUAACACCCGAAGUCGGUGAGGUAACCAUUUGG
rnacentral:rRNA from 1 species